rnacentral:rRNA from 1 species
GACGAACGCUGGCGGCGUGCUUAACACAUGCAAGUCGAACGGAAAGGCCUGCUUUCCCUUGUGGAUUGCGGGUACUCGAGUGGCGAACGGGUGAGUAACACGUGAGUGAUCUGCCCCCAACUUGGGUAUAAGCCUGGGAAACUGGGUCUAAUUCCCGAUAGGACUGCAGGGUGGUGCCUGUGGUGGAAAACGAUUUUCUAGUGGUUGGGGAUGAGCUCGCGGCCUAUCAGCUUGUUGGUGGGGUAAUGGCCUACCAAGGCGGCGACGGGUAGCCGGCCUGAGAGGGUGGACGGCCACAUUGGGACUGAGAUACGGCCCAGACGCCUACGGGAGGCAGCAGUGGGGAAUAUUGCACAAUGGGCGGAAGCCUGAUGCAGCGACGCCGCGGGGGGGAUGACGGCCUUCGGGUUGUAAACUCCUUUCGACCGCGAGGAAGCCACCUGGUUGGAAGGGUGGUGACGGUAGUGGUAGAAGAAGCACCGGCUAACUACGUG